rnacentral:lncRNA from 1 species
GUGGGCUGGGAUGGUCCUGGGGGUGUGGCGGCAUGGGCCUCUUGAGCUCAGCCUCCUGCCCUCCCACAGCGUGUGCUAACAGCCGACUUCUGUGAGGGCUGCAAGGUCAACGACGUGGAGGCCAUCGAGAGCCAGGGGCUGGCAGUGCGGGAUGUGAGUGCUGUGCACCUAGUCAGGGGGUGGGGUGGGGGUGCUGCCGGGUCUGCUGCACAUCCUGCCCCCUCCCCAGGUAGCAGAGAAGCUGAUCCAGGCUUUUGCUGAGCAGAUAUUCUACACAGGCUUCAUCCACUCAGAUCCCCACCCUGGCAAUGGUAGGACCCCUGGGAGAUGUCUUGGUGGGUGGCCUGGAUUGACAUGCUGUGUCUGCCACCCUGGCGAUGGUGGCCUCAGCGACAUACUCUGUCUGUAGUUCUGGUGCGGAGAGGCCUGGACGGGAAGGCAGAGCUGGUGCUGCUGGACCAUGGGCUCUACCAGUUCCUGGACGAGAAGUGAGCUGUGGGCAGGUGGGACCCUCUCCCUGUGGCCUGGCCUUUCCUGCCCUGAGACGUGGGGCUCAUAGCCAGACCCUCCCACAGGGACCGGUCAGCGCUGUGCCAGCUGUGGCGCACCAUCAUCCUGAGGGACAAGGCUGCAAUGAAGGAGCACGCAGCUGCACUUGGUGUAAACGGUAAGGGCAGGUGCAGCCCCAGGUUGGGCAGUGCUAGCCGGACACAGCCCAGCUCAGGCCCUGCCUCCACAGACUACUUGCUGUUCUCUGAGAUGCUCAUGCAGCGGCCUGUGCGCCUAGGGCAGCUGUGGCACUCCCACCUGCCCAGCCACGAGGAGGUGGCCUACAUGCAAGACAUGGCCCGCAGCCACUUCGAGGCCAUCAUGCAGGUGCUCCGGGCACUGCCUCGGUCCAUGCUGCUCGUGCUGCGCAACAUCAACACGGUCCGUGCCAUCAAUGUGGCUCUUGGCACCCCUGUGGACCGCUACUUCCUCAUGGCCAAGAGGUUAGUGACCGAGGGGGUUCCCUGGGGGUGGAUGAGGCCCAUGGGCUGAUGCCUGUGUCCGACACAGUGCGGUCAGAGGCUGGAGCCGCCUGGUGGGUGCAGCAUACCCAGGUAUCUACGGCAGUGGCCUCCUGCGCCACAUGAAGGUUGCCUGGGAGAUGUUCAAAUUUGAGGUGGCUCUGAGGUGAGUAGAUAUGUGGUACUGGUUGGGUGGUGGGCCUGGGCCUUCUGACAACCAAUCUUUGACCCCCUACUCUACACCCUCCCAUAGGUUGGAGACCCUGGCCAUGCGGCUCACCGCCCUCCUGGUUCGUGUUCUGGUCUACCUGGGCCUUGUGCCUCAGGCCGAGGAGCUCUACCAGUACCUGGAGACAUAGAUCCCCAGGGCCAGGAUGACCACACAGCUGCUCUUAGCCCUGGCCCACUGACAUCAGGCAGUCGGGCACCUCACACUGUGGGGCAUGGGGCAGUCAUGGCCUGAAGCAGGGGAAGCAUUGUGGGGCCCUGACCAGCAAUGACCACACACUCGUCUCA